CCUUAAUGUGUUUGUAAGACUGGGUUCAUCCCCUUCAAAGAAAAAAGAGACUAGUAUCGUUGCAAAAUGCAGAAAAUAGAAGAUAAGAGGACAGAGGCUGGGUUUUCAGAAAUUUCCUCUGGAGCAAAGAGAUGAGAGAAUAAGAGAUGUGGAGAUGGCAUGC